rnacentral:tRNA from 1 species
GGUGCCGGUGGGCCAGGCUGAGGCCGCGCGGGCCAUCGGCCUGAGCUUCUCCCAGGUGCUGUUCCUGGUGGUGCUGCC